GGUCAUGCUAUUCCACAGCUUUCUUGAACUUUCUUUUACUGCCUUUUCAAAUCUCUCUCUAGAUUCAAUAGGUAGAACUUUGGAAGCUCAAGAAAGCUGUGGGAGAACAUGGCAU
rnacentral:pre_miRNA from 1 species